UCUCCUACGGGGGGCAGCAGUGGGGAAUAUUGCACAAUGGGGGAAACCCUGAUGCAGCGACGCCGCGUGAGUGAAGAAGUAUUUCGGUAUGUAAAGCUCUAUCAGCAGGGAAGAAAAUGACGGUACCUGACUAAGAAGCCCCGGCUAACUACGUGCCAGCAGCCGCGGUAAUACGUAGGGGGCAAGCGUUAUCCGGAUUUACUGGGUGUAAAGGGAGCGUAGACGGCGCGGCAAGUCUGAUGUGAAAGCCCGGGGCUCAACCCCGGGACUGCAUUGGAAACUACCGAACUAGAGUGUCGGAGAGG
rnacentral:rRNA from 1 species